rnacentral:rRNA from 1 species
GGUUAAGUCCCGCAACGAGCGCAACCCUUAUCCUUUGUUGCCAGCGGUCCGGCCGGGAACUCAAAGGAGACUGCCAGUGAUAAACUGGAGGAAGGUGGGGAUGACGUCAAGUCAUCAUGGCCCUUACGACCAGGGCUACACACGUGCUACAAUGGCAUAUACAAAGAGAAGCGACCUCGCGAGAGCAAGCGGACCUCAUAAAGUAUGUCGUAGUCCGGAUUGGAGUCUGCAACUCGACUCCAUGAAGUCGGAAUCGCUAGUAAUCGUAGAUCAGAAUGCUACGGUGAAUACGUUCCCGGGCCUUGUACACACCGCCCGUCACACCAUGGGAGUGGGUUGCAAAAGAAGUAGGUAGCUUAACCUUCGGGAGGGCGCUUACCACUUUGUGAUUCAUGACUGGGGUGAAGUCGUAACAAGGUAACCGUAGGGGAACCUGCGGUUGGAUCACCUCCUUACCUUAAAGAA